AGCUUUGUAGUAUAUCUUGGAAUUUGGAAUUGUGAUAACUCCAGUUUUGUUUUUCUUUUUCAAGGUAGCUUUGACUAUUUGGGGUCUUCUGUGGUUC